GCAGAUCCCAACACUCCAGGAUGGUGCAGGACAUCAGUCUCAAGGUAAUUGGUCACAGAGGCAUCUUCCUUCAUGUUCUCUGGGGGAGAGACUGACUGUGGGAAUCAGCCUUGGUUGCAAAGGGAAGCUGAGAGAAGAGAGCAGCGCAGGGCACGGACAUGCCAGCCCAGUUACUGGAGAUAUCUGCCGCUGGAGACGGGUUCAGAGCCUAGUUUAAUAUCCCGAAGCAGGAAAGCUGAGAAUGUGCUGGAAAUGCUUGUUGAGGCCGACGUGUCAGGCAGCCCAUCAGUGCAGGAUGGAGCCUCGGUUGCAGAGAACUGCAGGGAGGUGGUGUGGAAGCUCAUUGGCUGUAAGAACUGCUCCGCUGCGACAGUGCUGCUGGAGGUGGUGGUGAACAGAUUUCUGAUGCCAAGCUGAUCAUCGUCUCAGCACCAGCAAAGACAUGCUAUUCCCGUCCCUGACGAGCAUUUCCUUCUUGAGAAAGUGAUUUUGAGGGGCUGCAGAUGUACUUGGAGGAAGGUUUGGGCCGGGACAGAUGACGUGCCCAUGUGGGAGCUGGACGGCCCCUCUCUGGGUAGCUCCCUGGGAACUCCCAUGUCCGCCUCCCGCUGCCUCCUGAUCCAAGGUGGAUGCACUUCAUUUGAGGCCUGGUCUUUCGUCCUUCCCUCUCCUCUUCGGGGACCACUUUGUCUAGUGCUAGACUCAUUGUGCUUCCCCCUUGGGGCUUCCUUCAGCCCUCAGCCGAUUCAAGACUUCAAAAGGAAGUUGGACAUGGAGAGGAAAAAAGAAAUGAAACCAGGAAGGAACCGCCAAGAAGCACACAACGCGUUUAUGCUGCCUUAACCACACGCUUGACUCUAAAUGGGUUUAAAAAUUCUUACUUGUGUUAGCCCAAGAAAGUUUCUGCAGCCGUCUUUUUGGUUUAAACAAUCAAAUACUCAAUAAUUCUGGGGCUGGUGGGCCAGGAUAUGGGUUACUCAGAUCUUCUGCUUCACCCCAUGCUCGGUCCCUGAGCCAGUUCUGUCAUUGGUUCUUUCAGACCAGGGCAGGAAAAGUCAAGAAAGCAAAAGCGGAUUCUAGGCUGUGGGGUUUGCUGUUUGCUAGCCCCCUGGCAGAGAUGCCUGUCCUUGCAGUCCUGAACUGGUGGCCAAGUGUGCAUGCAUGCACGUGCAGGUGUGUGCAUGUGCAGGUGUGCAUGCGUGUAUGUGCGCACACACAUUCAUGCUUGUACAUGUUUGUGUACACGCACACUUUUUUCUGCUUUCAAUUUCAAGCUGUUGCCUCCCUGAUGUGUCUGUUUAGUGACUUGAGCCAGAAAGAUUCCCGGUUCUAUGUGGGAUGAGAAUGAACGCAGGCAGGUCUCCACAGAAGUGAGUAAAGUAGAGCUGAGAAGAAGGACAUUGUCUCAUGCCAGCCUGUCCAAUAGCCACUUUGCCCCAGCCCUGCCUCAAGCCCCAGAGAGAUGACAAGGCUCUCUCUGUUUGUCGACUCCUUGAAGCUCAGAAAGGUGGGUCAAGAGGUGCCCGUCAAGCGUUUAGGCAAGCACAGGACCCUGAUCUUUACUAAGUCUCCACAUCUCUCUUGCACAGCCCUGGGCUCAGGGCUUGGUCCCCUCUGGGCAGGCCAUCCAGACUAAGUGACAGUCAGAUUGUGUGUGGGGAGGCUAGAGACAUCCAUUCUUCAUGGAUCAGCCUGAAUGGCUGGACAGAUCUUGCAAAUGGAUUGUGUAAGACAGAGUGUGGAAGAGGAGGCUGUGAUCAGUGGCUUGGAGAGCAGAGUGUGGUCAGGCGCUAAACCUAAGGCUUUUCUGGGAAGAGCUGUUAAGAUUAGACUGUUCUCCCAAAAAGCCAAUAAUUCUGAGUGUCUCCAUUAAUGCCUAGGUAGCCCAUACUCUCACCCAGCCGGUGCCCUUCAGCCUGGAACCUUUGGAUGGAGGAUUGGACCUUGUGACCUUCAAGUUCCCUUCCGAACCAAAUAUGCUCUAACCCAGGAGAUGGUGCUGUUGCCCAGGAAGCCGGUCACCAUGACGAGAGUACCCGCUCAGAUGAGGAUGCAGGCGGAGGCGGUGAAGGUGCUGGAGGCCAGGAUGCUGAGGUAGCUGCUCCUCUCCACCAGGGUCCAGAUGCCCAUGGCCAGGACAGCUGCCCCCCUGACCUGCAGGAGACCACCAGGUUGGAGCAGGGGGUGGCGGGGGCCUCAGGAGCUGCCAUUCCUUGAGUGCCCGCUGGGUACCAGGCACUUCUCGUGCAUUGUCUUAUUCAAUUUAGGCCUCCUAAGAGCCUGUGAGAACAGUGUGGUGGCCUAGCUUUACAGAUGAGGAAACGGAGGCUGAGAGAGGUUUGCAGGCUUGUCCAAGGUCACACAUGUAAGCGAGCUGCAGAUUUUGAAUCUGGGUCUGACUUCUGAUUCUGUGCAUCUUACUAUGGUUCCUACUGCAUAUGAGGCGGGGAGAAAUGACUUCAGUUUUGGGGAUGACUAAUAUACCUGAGUCCCUUCGCCUCCCCUCCCCUCAGAGCGCUCCCUCCCUCUGUCCACGUUUCCCUGAUGGAUGUGGAGGUGCCAUUUUGAGCACCUCCCCUUGUUCAAUCCUUAUAUUUGCCCAUUGGGGAAGCACGGCUGGGCCCCUUAUCCCUCCCUGUUCUACAGAGGAAGGAACUGAGGCCCAUGGAGGAGAGGUAAAUGGCCCGAGUUAGGGGCAGGGCCAGGACCAGGACUCAGAGCCCAGGGCCUGCUUGCUCAGUCUCGCUGCCUCCAUGAUGGAAGGGCCACUGUGCUGGACAAGUUGGAGCUCCCUGGGACCACAGGAGGAGGGAGGAGAGCCUUCUUUGCUGUCUGACUCCCUUUCAGUCCUGAGAGGGGGCAGGGACGGGACACUGCUGAUUUGCAGGUCUGGGGGAUGCCUUCUUGGAAAUAGAGUACCUGGGAAAUGUAGCUGGGGUGGUGGGGCUUGACUGUUCUUUCCUGCCAUGAAGCUGAGGAGCCUUUUAGUGACUGUUAUCCUCAGCAGAGCAUAGUGGGUGGGUGCAAGUGUCCUCAAGGUGCCAGAUGGGGGCUGUUUGGAGUGUUUUCCCAGGAUUUGGGUCCUCUGGGACCUCUGACCAUCUCUGUCAUUUGCUCCUGGGAAGGUGGACUUCUGUCUCCCAGUCUCUCUGCCCGCCAUUUAGGGACGGGUCCAUUUCCUCUGAUGGUCAGUAGAUGCUUCCUCAAGGGGUCUUGGGUGUAGCCAAAGCUAGAGAAGCCCUCCCGGGCUCUGUUCACAUCCCCUGAUGCUUUUCCCUGCAAGUUGUCUCCCGUCUGCCCCAGGAAGACUCUCUGUAUAACCUAACCUGUCACUUCCCAGUUCUCUGUUCCGGGGAGUCGCAGACCUUGGCUGAGUAAAUGGAAGGUGGUUCUUAGCAAUGAACAGGCACCUACAUUACUCAACUCGCAAGUAUUUUACCAUUUUGCCAUUUUCUCUUCUGAGCUUUGCAACAGCUCUGUGAGGAUGGGGCCGGGCAGGAGGGGCCAGGCUAUCCCUGUCUUGCAGAUAAGAAAAUUGAGGCUUGGAGAGAAUAAGAAUGUGCCCAAGAUGACACCAUCAGAGGGUCAGAAUUGAGGUGCAAACCCAGUUAUUUGAGGGCAAAUCCAGGCCUCUGUCCUUGGAUCCCCCAGAGUAGGCUGGGCCUGCUUCUCUCUUACUUCUACGUUUUUAAUAGACAUGAUUUCUUCAAAGUGCCAUUUUAUCUCCAUAGGUACCUCCAGACACCACCCAGGCUGCAGCAAAUGGAAUGGGAGAGGCUAACACACCAUAAUUUUUCAAUUCCAUGAUGCCCAUUUUUUCUCACAUUUUAACGUCUCUAAAAUUGGGGCACAUCUUAUGAUUGAUGGCAUCUUACAAUUACACUUGGCAGUACUUUUUCUUGGUGAUACAAAAAAACAACAGUGUAUCUUACAACUGAUAGCUUAGAUUCAGUGAAAUCCUAGAAUACAACAGGUUUGAAAAUUC
rnacentral:lncRNA from 1 species